rnacentral:lncRNA from 1 species
GACAUCUUAAAUUAAUCACGAGCACUCGUCUUAAUGCUGUGACUCAAGAUAUUAACUGUUCCACCAGUCGCAUGAGAAAGAACAGAGACCAUUACAAAGCGCAUUUGUCAAGCAGUCACUUACACAGCCAUUGUGGUGGCUGAAAAAAGGUCAAGUGACUUUGUUAUUGUUAAGUAGAGUGCAGACUGAAACUCCUAAUUCCUUACUAUGUGUUUAAUGUGCCAGUUAAGUAGUGGUAAUUGGCAGCAGCUGUGCCCUGGAACCAAUGGUUUCUUACUGGAGGAGGAAGCCCUAAUGUGCUAAAUGGGGCAGGAGCGCUUUCGGGAGGGAGGGUUUAUAAGGCAGGAGCUGAGGAAGGGGCAGCACCCCCUAAAGGAGCCGGAGGGGCCGUGGGCAGGAGGCGGCAGCGAAGACGGCAGCAGGGCCAGUGUGCUGAGGAUAUCCCACAAACCUAGCCCUGCAGCAGGCUGUGCUCAUGUAGGAGGGAUGGAGAGAAACGUGAGCGGCUCUGGGAAGUACCAGGAGGGGACCUGUGCUGCUGGCGCAAUGUGUGCAGUGAGAACAUUCCAGUGGAGAAGAGUUUGUGCCAGAAUUUGCAAAGCAUGA